CCUACGGGAGGCAGCAGUGAGGAAUAUUUGUCAAUGGGCGCUAGCCUGAACCAGCCAAGUAGCGUGAAGGAUGACUGCCCUCUGGGUUGUAAACUUCUUUUAUAUGGGAAUAAAGUGCAGUAUGUAUACUGCUUUGCAUGUACCUUAUGAAUAAGGCUCGGCUAACUCCGUGCCAGCAGCCGCGGUAAUACGGAGGAUCCGAGCGUUAUCCGGUUUUUUUGGGUUUAAAGGGAGCGUAGGCGGGUUGUUAAGUCAGUUGUGAAAGUGUGCGGCUCAACCGUAAAAUUGCAGUUGAUACUGGCAUCAUUGAGUACAGUAGAGGUAGGCGGAAUUCGUAGUGUAGCGGUGAAAUGCUUAGAUAUCACGAAGAACUCCGAUUGCGAAGGCAGCCUACUGGACUGGAACUGACGCUGAUGCUCGAAAGUGUGGGUAUCAAACAGGAUUAGAUACCCCUGUAGUC
rnacentral:rRNA from 1 species